rnacentral:rRNA from 1 species
UGAGUACGAGACGCUAAGGCGUCGAAGUAGUGGAUGUCAUACUUCCAAGAAAAGCUUGCACUGUCAUAAAUAGAAAACGCCUGUACCGUAACCGACACAGGUGGGUAGGUAGAGUAUACUAAGGGGCGCGAGAUAACUCUCUCUAAGGAACUCGGCAAAAUGACUCCGUAACUUCGGGAGAAGGAGUGCCUUAUUCGUAAGGCUGCAAUAACAAGAUCCAAGCAACUGUUUAUCAAAAACACAGGUCUCCGCUAAGUCGUAAGACGAUGUAUGGGGGCCGACGCCUGCCCAGUGCCAGAAGGUUAAAGAAGUCGGUUAGCAUUAGCGAAGCUGGUAACUGAAGCCCUGGUGAACGGCGGCCGUAACGAUAACGGUCCUAAGGUAGCGAAAUUCCUUGUCGGGUAAGUUCCGACCCGCACGAAAGGCGUAAUGAUUUGGAUACUGUCUCGGAGAGGGGCUCGGUGAAAUAGACUUGUCUGUGAAGAUGCGGACUACCUGCACCAGUACAGAAAGACCCUAUGAAGCUUUACUGUAACUUGAAAUUGAAAUUGGACUUUAUUCGCGCAGUAUAGGUGGGAGGUGUUGAUUAUAAUCUUGCGGGAUUAUUGGAGCCAUCAGUGAGAUACCACUCUUGUAAUGUUAGAUUUCUAACUUUGAAUCAUUAUCUGGUCAAAGAACAGUUUCAGGCGGGCAGUUUGACUGGGGCGGUCGCCUCCUAAAUGGUAACGGAGGCGUACAAAGGUUUCCUCUGAACGGGUAGAAAUCGUAUCUAGAGUGUAAGGGCAUAAGGAAGCUUGACUGUGAGACCUACAAGUCGAGCAGGGACGAAAGUCGGUCUUAGUGAUCUGACGGUACUGAGUGGAAAGGCCGUCACUCAACGGAUAAAAGUUACUCUAGGAUAACAGGCUGAUCUCCCCCAAGAGUUCACAUCGACGGGGAGGUUUGGCACCUCGAUGUCGGCUCAUCGCAUCCUGGGGCGGUAGUACGUCCCAAGGGUUGGGCUGUUCGCCCAUGAAAGCGGUACGCGAGCUGGGUUCAGAACGUCGUGAGACAGUUCGGUCCAUAUCCGGUGUAGGCGUUAGAAUAUUGAGAGGAGCCUUCUUUAGUACGAGAGGACCGAGAAGGACAUACCUCUGGUGUACCAGUUAUCGUGCCAACGGUAAACGCUGGGUAGCUAUGUAUGGAGUGGAUAACCGCUGAAAGCAUCUAAGUGGGAAGCCCACCUCAAGAUAAG